GUAGGUGGCAAGCGUUGUCCGGAAUCAUUGGGCGUAAAGCGCGCGCAGGCGGUUCUUUAAGUCUGAUGUGAAAGCCCACGGCUCAACCGUGGAGGGUCAUUGGAAACUGGAGAACCUGAGUACAGAAGAGGAAAGCGGAAUUCCACGUGUAGCGGUGAAAUGCGUAGAGAUGUGGAGGAACACCAGUGGCGAAGGCGGCUUUCUGGUCUGUAACUGACGCUGAGGCGCGAAAGCGUGGGGAGCAAACAGGAUUAGAUACCCUGGUAGUCCACGCCGUAAACGAUGAGUGCUAAGUGUUAGGGGGGUUUCCGCCCCCCUUAGUGCUGCAGCUAACGCAUUAAGCACUCCGCCUGGGAGUACGGCCGCAAGGCUG
rnacentral:rRNA from 1 species